rnacentral:rRNA from 1 species
GAUGAACGCUGGCGGCGUGCCUAAUACAUGCCAGUCGAGCGAACGGACGAGAAGCUUGCUUCUCUGAUGUUAGCGGCGGACGGGUGAGUAACACGUGGAUAACCUACCUAUAAGACUGGGAUAACUUCGGGAAACCGGAGCUAAUACCGGAUAAUAUUUUGAACCGCAUGGUUCAAAAGUGAAAGACGGUCUUGCUGUCACUUAUAGAUGGAUCCGCGCUGCAUUAGCUAGUUGGUAAGGUAACGGCUUACCAAGGCAACGAUGCAUAGCCGACCUGAGAGGGUGAUCGGCCACACUGGAACUGAGACACGGUCCAGACUCCUACGGGAGGCAUCAGUAGGGAAUCUUCCGCAAUAGGCGGAAGCAUGACGGAGCAACGCCGCGUGAGUGAUAAAGGUCUUCGGAUCGUAAAACUCUGUUAUUAGGGAAGAACAUAUGUGUAAGUAACUGUGCACAUCUUGACGGUACCUAGUCAGAAAGCCACGGCUAACUACGUG